UCCCAGAAAACCUCUAUCCACUACGGGGUCCGUAAUUUUGUUACGACUUGAGAUUGAGGGAUAGUCCGCCGUAUGGGCCGUCAAGUAGGCCUUUAUGUAGUCCUUUGAGUGUUUGAUGUCCAGACGACUUUUAAACCACAACACCUAAUAAUAACCAACUAAAGACGCGUAACGGAGAUGACAUUAGAAGGGAGGUCUAGCCGCGGCGGCGGUCGCUGCCCUUUCUACGGCGACGAUCUAGGAGGUGUGAGAGAGAGGGGACUACACUGAGGGGUAUAAUAGGGGUACUUAAAGUCGGAGUUGAGAGAUUAGGGGGAGACACACACACAAG
rnacentral:rRNA from 1 species